UGCAGCCCCAACCUCCACAACAUCCUUCUGGACCUGAAUCUUGCUUGCUCCACCCUUCCUGUCACUAAACAAGCCCGGCUCUGCCAGCUACCUCUGAGACCACAGCUACAAGAAUGUCUGACUCUGCCGCGGCCAGGAGCAAAUCACCUGUGGUGUUUCCUUUCCAUGUCUGUGGGAUUUUCUGAGAACUGAGGAGCCUAUGUCUAGACUGUGUGGAGCUUCCUGGAUGCUGUUGCUAGGCCAAGUAAACACAGUUUGGAGGCUGCUGACCAUCCACAUAGUAGAACCUUUGUGUGUAGGCCAGAAGAAGGCCCGGCUACCUCUCUGGCUCUGCCCUGCUUCUCCACCCUGCUUGUCAUUUGAAAGCUGAAGUGCCUAACAGUCUCUGGGCCACAGUGUAGGGAACCAAGACCCUGUUCUAGCCUCUGAUGCAAAGGUGAACAGGGCAGAACUGUUGCCCUCAACAACAAAGAUGCAGACAGACCAACAACAAGGAGAUAUGGGGCUGAGAAAGGAUGUGACGGAGGCAAAGCCGGUCCUCCUUCCAGUGAGGGUGUGGAAAGAUGGUCACAAGACUCUGAGGACACAGCGAACAAGGGAGCACAGAGGAGGAGAAGAGCACAGCUGGACAGGAUGAGGAUGGCUGCACCUCUGGAAGCAAGCGUUGAAGUACCACAAACAGGCCCGCCAGCAGGACAGGCGGAGUAAUGGUCCCCUGACCCCAUCACACACAUCUACAUCCUAGUCCCUGGAAGCUGUCACGUCACUACGUAAGGUCACAUGGUAAAUGGCAGACUAAGUAAAUGGUGAAAAUAAAGUUGUCUAUCGGCUGAUCUUAAAAUGGGGGAAUAUUCUGUAUGGUUUGGGUGGGCCAUGUGUAACCACACAAUCCCUACAGGAAGGAGGAGAGCAGGGGAAAGUCAGAGUCAGUGACUGGAGCCGAGAGUCCGCCCGCUGUUGUUGCCUUUGGAAGGAAAGGACCACAAGUUAACAAAUGCAGGCACACCGUGAACACAGUGGGAGGGGUGGUCCUGGUGGGUGGAGACUGAGAGGGUCAGGAACGGGGUGGGGGAGAUGGCAAGGGGAGAAGCAUCGAGUUGAGGGUCUCUGAUGACACAACCGUGGGAACACACAGCAGACUCUGGCUCUGAGGCAUCCCAAACCAUGGCUGGAGCAGGAGGGGAAGGUGGGAGGUGCAGGGUAGAGCCAAGAGGCUUCUGGGUAGACAAGAGUGUUGUUGACAGGAGAGGCCCAGGAAG